AGGCGCGUAGCUCAGUUGGUAGAGCGCUACCUCGACACGGUAGAAGUCAACAGUUCAAGCCUGUUCGUGCCUACCA
rnacentral:tRNA from 1 species